ACAAAGGCUCUUCUAAGAGCCACCCACAUCAACACUUAAGAGUACU
rnacentral:ncRNA from 1 species